CGCUGAACAGCUCCCUUGGAGGUGGAGGAGGUACACAUGGAGCGCCUACUGUACAUUAUAAAGGAAUACAAAGAAACUACUUCAUAAUGGUCAUGGAACAUUCCGGACCUAUUUUGCUUGAUGUAUGGAGGUCUGCAAGAAUAAAUUAAAAGAAGAUGGCAAGUAUCUUGACAUGCCUUGUUUUACUUAGACAAAUAUCUUCUGAACCUUGUUUUGAUGCAUUUCAUACAUAUUUUUUCAUUUGAAAGGAGUUUGUAAAAAGAAUUUCGAAAAUCAUACUAAAAACUAAAAAAGCUUAACUUUAGUAGAUUAUAACCAUAAGAUGGAAGCUGCUAAAAACCAUCUCCAUCUGGCUUUCAUUGUAGGUGAAGAAACUUGAUAAUCCUCAUAAUCUUCCUUUGUCAUUAGAUUCCUGGUAGUAUCAGAAAUUGUCUCUCAAGUUUGAAUAAUUGUACGGCGCUCCAUCACAGGCCAAGAACAGUUUUUGAUGUGGGCUAUGAACUGAUAUUGAUAUCGCACUCCUGUUAGUUUGAAUCUUCUACUGGCUCUGACCCUUGUUGACAUCACAUCCUAACAUGCCUGGCCUUGUUGGAGCCAUAAAUGUGGCCUGUGCUCAAAUAGAACAUCAUUUUAUGCCUACAACACUAUCAAAGUUCACCCUGUUUCUGAUAGCUAUAGGAUUGCACUCUUGUCUUUUCUAUUGGCAUAUUAGUAAUAUGUCAAUUUUUUUGCUUUGGCUAUGCCUGUGGUUUUGUGGCCUGUUCUCAAUGCUAGUUCCAGAGCUUUCUUGCAUACAAACUUUCUUUUUCAAAGAGAUACACUCAAGAGGGUAUCCUACUGUCUUUUCUUGUUUCCUUUUUCACUCUUCUUAAGGGUUGAAGGUUGUCGGUGGUAUGCAUUGAAUUUGGUUGGCUUCUCUUUGAAUUCGUAAUUUAUAACUUAGAAUAUGUAACUUUUUGAGUCUUAGGUAUGUGAAUGGUGAUAUAAAGCCUCAUAACCUAUUGCUUGGCCAAGCAUGAACACCACAAGAAAAGAAGUCUUUUGUCGACUUCGGAAUAGGUCAGAUAAUGUGAAUAUUGUCCUCUCCUAGUCACAAGCAUUUAUCCUUUUUCACUAAUAUCCUCACAAAUUACAGCAACUGAGUGGAGAAAUAGCUGUGAGGGUAAACACAUUGAAUACACUGAACAUCCCUGGCACACAAAGUGAGUGUUAGCUUUCAUAUGUUCACAAUUUUUCAAUUAACUCGUCUGCUUCUAUAGAAGAUCUAUCCUCUUUCUGUGCAACUGUCCAGAGGGACUCUUGAAUUUGCAAGUGUGCAUGCCUAACUUGGGAAGGACUGCUAGUCAGAGGGAUGAUUUACAGACAUUUCCUUAAACACUUAUUUUCCUUCUGAAAGGUAGGUUGCCAUGGAGGAAGUCAAGGUUCUCAAGAAUAAUUCCUUUUUCCCUCACUUUUGGAUCCUUCCUCUUCUUCCACUAGUACGCUUAUUUUCCACUCUGUGUAUUAUCUAAAGGAUGAGGAAACCUUUUUUCAUGUCAGCUUGGAGGAAAAGUUUUCAACCUCACCUGACUUGUUGUGUUUCUCGUGCUAUGCCCCUUUGAAAGAGUAUCUGGGGACUGUUCUUGAUUUUAACUUUUCUGAGGAGCCCAACUAUUGUCUUCUACUAUAUGUUAUAUCCAUCUUUGAUGGUCUUAUUGGAGCCAAUUUUGCCACCAAACUAUUGAACACAGAUGGUGCUCAAAGGUGACAUGUGUGGAUGGUUAGGUAAUUGUGUAGUUUAUUUAUCUCAUAUUGACACUUAUUGUGAUCUUAAGCUAUAACUGAGGGAAUUAAGCUUUCUAAAUUCUCAUGAACAAGUAAGGAAGUUAACUUCAAUGAUAAAGCUAAUUAGGUAUGACCAGGGUUCAGAGGUUUGAUGAGUGAAAUGCCUUCUUACUAGUGCAGGAUAAGGCAUUUUUGGUGUUACAGAGCCCGCAAUUGCAUGUGUACGUACUAUUUAUUUCCCGUUGUGCUUGAAAUUGCAAGUAUUUAUUUGAGUAUUGGGCUUAAUGAACUUAAGUCUGUUUUUUAUGGUUGCGUUGGUUUAUCAGGUCUUAAUUCCAUGUUCGCUUUAGUGGAUGUUGCAUGGUGCCUUAUUGUUGACAAGAUCCUCAAGCCAAAUUAUAUGCAGAUCAAAGGUGUGGGGAUCUUGUUAAUAUCAAAUCUCUGAUGCGAAACAACUUCAUGAAAUUCUACAGGCAAAGUAACUUCAUGAAAGCCUGUGUGUGAACUGGGCUAAAUGGCUCAGGAACUUUUGCUGUCAUCUAAGUUGCCAUGCAAAGUUACUGAGGAGAACCGGGCAAAAAAUCUCUUCGUUUCUUGUUUGUGCUAUGGACAAACAUUGGAAUCACUCCGAUGAUCCAUUAAGAUUUAUCAGAGGCAGAAGAUUUCUUCAGUGUGACAGAUUUACUAUAACAACUUAUUAUCUUUCUCAUGUUUCCUAUUCCCAUAGGAUAUUUCGUUUUUAUUGUUGCAAGUUGGUUGCUGUCAUUGAUCAUUGUUUCUUUCCUUUCAACAGAGGAAGUCAGUUACUUUUCUUUCCUUUGCAAUUAGUUUGUUUGUUCGUUCAGAGAAGGAAAGGAUGGGCUGUCAUGAGAAGGAAAAAAUCAUCGAGGUGCUUAUCUUCCAAAUUAGAAGGCUAGCAUAGGAGGAGUAUUCAGGAAUCAUUGUGGUCUUAUUUCAAAUGCGGUAGCAGAAGAAAUAUGUGCUUUAAGGAUUGGGCUAAGAAUUGCAAUGUCUCGAAAUUUUGUUAA